rnacentral:rRNA from 1 species
CCAAUAGCGUAUAUUAAAGUUGUUGCAGUUAAAAAGCUCGUAGUUGAAUUUCGGGGUCAGCAGGUUGGUCGUGCCAAUGGUAUGCACUGGCCUUGCUGAUUCCUCCCUCUUGAUGAGCCGUAAUGCCAUUAAUUUGGUGUUGCGGGGAAUCAGGACUGUUACUUAGAAAAAAUUAGAGUGUUUAAAGCAGGCAAGCGCUUGAAUACAUUAGCAUGGAAUAAUGAAAUAGGACGUUUGAUCCUAUUUUGUUGGUUUCUAGGAUUGACGUAAUGAUUAAUAGGGAUAGUUGGGGGCAUUAGUAUUCAAUUGUCAGAGGUGAAAUUCUUGGAUUUAUUGAAGACUAACUACUGCGAAAGCAUUUGCCAAGGAUGUUUUCAUUAAUCAAGAACGAAAGUUAGGGGAUCGAAGACGAUCAGAUACCGUCGUAGUCUUAACCAUAAACUAUGCCGACUAGGGAUCGGAUGAUGUUAAUUUUUUAAUGACUCAUUCGGCGCCUUACG